CCACUCACUGUUCUCCCUGUCAAUGCCUACACGUGUUACAGUUAUGACUUAACGUUGGCCUCACAGUGACUUCCCUGCCACUCCAUGACUCAGCUCUGGUAACUUAGAGUUCAGGAAUGGAGGGCCUUCCCACUGACAAGAUUCCCAACUUGGCAAGUCCUCAACCAUCAAUACCCCCAGUCGCUCUUCAGUUUAGCUUAAGUUCCAAGUAUGUGUAAGUUACUGAAUUUGUCCUAAACAAACUCAGCCCUGGGAUACAUGUCCUGUACAGAGACUAUCUGAUGUCUGGUGCCAUGAUAGGAAUGUCUGUAUAGAGUGCUACAGAACCACGUUCUGCAGUGUGGAGAAGAAUUUCCUGAGGAGAUAGUGACUAAAGUGUGAAGGUUUGGAGUUUGGACUUCGGACACUUUUAACCACAGCACUAGGGAGGCAGUGGCAGAUGGAUCUCUGAGUUCAAGGCCAGCCUGGUCUACAGAGUGAGUUCCAGGACUGCACAGAGAAACCCUGAUUGAAAAAAACAAAAGAAAAAAAAAGUAUACAGAGGAGCGUCCAAGACCUUGGAACAGUGAGCCCUAAAUGGGUGAAUAUGAAACCCUCCCCUUAGGGAACCCCAAAGGAGCAGAGGCAGAAAGAGUAAGAGCAAAAGGGAUGAAGGGCACGGAGAAAACAAGGCCCUCCAAAGCAAAAAAGAUCGAUAAAUAUGUGAACUCAGUGAACUGAGGCAGCAUGCACAGAGCCUGUGUGGAUCUUCACCGAUAAGCUCCUAGAGCCCAAAGAAGUAGACAGCUAUCCCCAUCCUUAAUCCAGCCACUAUCUCCAACUGAUAACCACUUGAAAAAGUAAAUUCUCUCUCCAGGGAAGGCUCACUUGAAAAACAUUUGCGAUGGUAGACUGAAUGGCCAGCAGUGGAUGGCCAAUACAACCUUAGAGGUUCCUGCUCUUGAAAUGUCAUGUCAGAGUCCUGCCUUUUUUUUUUUUUUAACCUCCUUUUACCCUAAAGUUCCUUUGUGUAUAUAUUAUGGCUUCCAGUUUAGUGUUUUUAUGGCAUUCCCAAGUGUGCCAACAUGAGGCUUUGAUUCUUACACUCUCUCUUGGGCUCUUCCCCUUCCGUCUUUAGAAGCCUGUUUCAUAUUGACAGGAAAGGUGUGGAUCCAGAUGGGAUGAGAGGUGGGGAGGACUAGGGGGAGGAGAAACUGUAAUCAGGAUAUAAUAUGUGAGGAGGGGAAUUUUAUUUUAUGUAUAUGGUGUUAUGCCUAUAUCCCCUAGAACUUGUGAGCCACCAAGUGGGUGCUGAGAAUCAAACCUAAGACCUCUGGAAGAGCAGCCAGUGCCCUUAACCACUGAACCAUCUCUCCAACCCCCAAAAUGUACUUUCUUUCUUUCUUUUUUUUUUAAAGAUUGAUUUAUUUAUUAUAUGUAAGUACACUGUAGCUGUCUUCAGAUGCGCCAGAAGAGGGUGUCAGAUCUCAUUACAGGUGGUUGUGAACCACCAUGUGAUUGCUGGGAUUUGAACUCAGGACCUUUGGAAGAGCAGUCAGUGCUCUUAACCGCUAAGCAGUCUCUCCAGCCCCCAAAAUGUACGUUCAAUAAAAGGAAAAAAAAAUUUAAGAGCACAAUGGCAAAUUGGACCUAGGGCCAUUGGAGAUUGCUUUGUAAAUAGGCUAUGAAUCUUAUUACUGAGUAUAAUAACAGGCAAGAGGAUUGUGACUGGUUCAGGCCCCAGUGUGAUCCCGUUCAAAAAUAAAUAGCAACAAAAAAACUUUAGACUCAAAGAGUUCAAACUAGGAGGGCACAGUCUCAAGUCAGUAAUGAGAAGGAGGCCAUUUGAAUUAUAACAGGAUAGAUGGAUUACACAGCUGGGUUGACUCAUACAAUGUUCCCACUGGGGCCUGUGUUGAUUCUACAUGAAGACAGACAAGGAAUUCCUUCAGUUCUCACCAGCUUCAUUUUGUUCUGCAUUCCUUCUGUUUCUUUCCUUCUUCCUGGGUUUCUAGAUUAGUCUAGUGAGUGACACCAGCAUGUCUGGUUUUAGACCUUGAAAUACAAUUUUCAGGUCUGGGGAGAUGGCUCAGUAGUUAAGAGCACUGACUGCUCUGCCAGAGGUCCUGAAUUCAAUUCUCAGCAACCAUAUGGUGGCUUACAACCAUCUGUAAUGGGAUCGGAUGUGUGUGUGAAGACAGUGACAGUGUAUUUAUAUAAAUAGAAAAUAAAGAAAUCGUCAAAACUAAAAGAUAAUUUAAAAAAAAAAAUAGAAAUUGCAGCCUGGCAAGAUAGCUCAGUGGGUAACACCUGAGUUCAUUCCAGAACCCACAGUGGAAGGAGAGAACCAACUCUCCCGAAAGUUGUUCUCUUGACCUACACGCGCAUGCACACCUGAGAGUGUUCUCAGCAUAGACAACCAGCACUUCCUGCUUCCAUUGGCUGUAAUCCCCCAGCACCAUGGCCACCACAUCCUUACUCCACAGAACAGAAGACCACAGUGAUGGGUCCACUAAGUCAAGCUUCUCAAUGGAGGCAAGUGUAAUAGUGCUCUGACACGAUCUGAUCAGUAACUCCAAGAAAAAGGAAAAGUUUUUAUCCUGAGCCUCAAUAUUGGACGCUGACGCUGAAAUCAUGUAAUAAGUCAAAGUAACGCUGGU
rnacentral:lncRNA from 1 species